rnacentral:rRNA from 1 species
CCAACAGGGAUUGCCCUAGUAACGGCGAGUGAAGCGGCAACAGCUCAAAUUUGAAAUCUGGCUUCGGCCCGAGUUGUAAUUUGCAGAGGAAGCUUUAGGCGCGGCACCUUCUGAGUCCCCUGGAACGGGGCGCCAUAGAGGGUGAGAGCCCCGUAUAGUUGGAUGCCUAGCCUGUGUAAAGCUCCUUCGACGAGUCGAGUAGUUUGGGAAUGCUGCUCAAAAUGGGAGGUAAAUUUCUUCUAAAGCUAAAUACCGGCCAGAGACCGAUAGCGCACAAGUAGAGUGAUCGAAAGAUGAAAAGCACUUUGAAAAGAGGGUUAAAUAGCACGUGAAAUUGUUGAAAGGGAAGCGCUUGUGACCAGACUUGCGCCGGGCGGAUCAUCCGGUGUUCUCACCGGUGCACUCCGCCCGGCUCAGGCCAGCAUCGGUUCUCGCGGGGGGAUAAAGGUCCUGGGAACGUAGCUCCUCCGGGAGUGUUAUAGCCCGGGGCGUAAUGCCCUCGCGGGGACCGAGGUUCGCGCAUCUGCAAGGAUGCUGGCGUAAUGGUCAUCAGCGACCCGUCUUGAAACACGGACCAAGGAGUCAAGGUUUUGCGCGAGUGUUUGGGUGUAAAACCCGCACGCGUAAUGAAAGUGAACGUAGGUGAGAGCUUCGGCGCAUCAUCGACCGAUCCUGAUGUUUUCGGAUGGAUUUGAGUAGGAGCGUUAAGCCUUGGACCCGAAAGAUGGUGAACUAUGCUUGGAUAGGGUGAAGCCAGAGGAAACUCUGGUGGAGGCUCGCAGCGGUUCUGACGUGCAAAUCGAUCGUCAAAUCUGAGCAUGGGGGGCGAAAGACUAAUCGAACCA